GGAAGCUAGCAAACAACAGCCUACAGGGAGCAGCAUUGCAGGGCAACACUUUUCCACAAAGAGGAAGAAAUUGCUGUGCUCAGGUCCCCACCUUUCAGCAGUGAUUCUGUGAUGCAAGUUCCAGGAGUUUCUCUUUCUGUGACAAUCUUCCCUAUGGCCAUUUCUUGCUGAUGUUUGCCCCAGUGUUGGGCACAAGGAGGAAGGAUGCUGAAGAAUGGGUGCUCCACUUUUGGCUUUUAGAACAUGGGUACUUGUGUAAAGAUGCAGCUGUGAUCCUCGGCUGUGUGUCUCACCGAAGGGACCUGAUGUUUUACAUUAUUGGUGGGAUCACAGUGUUUGUGGUAGCUUUCUUCUUCACCAUUAAGUUCCUCUUUGAGCUUGCCGCACGUAUAGUCAGCUUCCUUCAGCAUGAGGACCGGGAACGCCGAGGGGAGCGAACUAUUUAUGACUACGUGCGAGGCAACUACCUGGAUCCCCGGUCCUGCAAAAUCUCCUGGGAUUGGAAGGACCCCUACGAGGUGGGCCAUAGCAUGGCCUUCCGAGUGCAUUUAUUCUAUAAAAAUGGGCAACCCUUCCCUGCUCACCGGCCUGUCGGGCUGCGAGUUCACAUCUGCCAUGUGGAGCUAGCAAUUGAUAUUCCUGUAACCCAGGAAGUUCUUCAGGAGCCUAAUUCCAAUGUGGUGAAAGUGGCCUUCACUGUGCGCAGGGCUGGGAGAUAUGAGAUCACUGUAAAACUCGGUGGCUUGAAUGUGGCCUACAGCCCCUACUACAAGGUGUUCCAGCCAGGGAUGGUGGUUCCCUCCAAAACCAAAAUUGUCUGCCAUUUUUCCACUCUGGUCCUGACCUGUGGGCAGCAGCAUACUCUGCAUAUAGCUCCCAGAGAUGAGUAUGACAAUCCCACCAGCAAUUCUGUGUCCUUGGUAGAUGAGCACAAUUACAGCCUUUCCAUCCAUGAGCUGGGUCCUCAAGAAGACGAGAGCUCUGAUGUUGUGUUUGAGAAGUCUGUGGUGUCCAAUCGGCAGACUUGUGAAGUGUUCUUCCGACUCACCUUGCACUGUAGAGGGUGUUUCCAUGCCUGCAUCUCCUACCAGAACCAGCCCAUAAGUAAUGGCGAUUUUGACAUCAUUGUUCUAAGUGAGAAUGAAAAGAACAUUGUAGAACGCAAUGUGUCCACCUCAGGUGUCAGUAUUUACUUUGAAGCCUACCUUUAUGAUGCUCCUAGUUAUACCAACACUCAGUGGCAACUUCCACCAAUGCACGUGAGUUCCUCCCAGCGCCGUCCUUCUACUGCAACUGAGGAUGAAGAUGAAGAUUCUUCUGCUGACAGCCAAACGCCUGAGAAAGUGAAGAAACCUAAAAAAGUGUACUGCUAUGUGUCACCUAAGCAAUUAUCAGUGAAAGAAUUUUACCUGAAGAUCAUUCCAUGGCGCCUUUUCACCUUUAGAGUAUGUCCUGGCACAAAGUUUUCAUACCUUGGCCCUGACCCUGUGCACAAAUUACUGACACUGGUGGUGGAUGAUGGGAUCCAACCUCCUGUGGAGCUCAGCUGCAAGGAGAGGAACAUCUUGGCAGCCACUUUCAUUCGCUCUCUGCAUAAAAACAUAGGAGGCUCAGAGACCUUCCAGGACAAAGUGAACUUCUUUCAGCGGGAGCUACGUCAGGUGCAUAUGAAAAGACCUCACUCAAAGGUCACACUGAAGGUCAGCCGUCACUGUCUGCUGGAGUCGUCUUUUAAAGCAACACGAAAUUUUUCUGUUUCUGACUGGAGCAAAAACUUCGAGGUGAUUUUUCAGGAUGAAGAAGCUCUGGACUGGGGAGGUCCACGCAGAGAGUGGUUUGAACUCAUCUGCAAGGCAUUAUUUGAUACCACCAAUCAACUCUUUACCCGCUUCAGUGAUAACAACCAGGCUUUGGUACAUCCAAACCCAGGCCGUCCCACAUAUUUACGGCUCAAAGUGUAUGAAUUUGCAGGCCGCCUAGUAGGAAAGUGUCUUUAUGAAUCAUCUCUGGGAGGUGCCUACAAACAACUGGUUCGAGCUCGCUUCACCCGAUCCUUCCUGGCUCAGAUCAUAGGACUUCGUAUGCAUUACAAGUAUUUUGAAACAGAUGACCCAGAAUUCUAUAAAUCCAAAGUUUGUUUCAUACUGAACAAUGAUGUGAGUGAGAUGGAUCUGGUCUUUGCUGAAGAGAAGUAUAGCAAAACAGGACAGCUGGAGAAGGUGGUGGAACUGGUGACAGGAGGGGCUCAAAUACCAGUGACCAAUGAAAACAAAAUCUUGUAUUUAAAUCUGCUUGCGCAGUACAGGCUGGCCAACCAGGUUAGAGAGGAGGUGGAUCACUUCCUGAAAGGUCUUAAUGAGUUAGUUCCUGAGAAUCUCCUGGCUAUUUUUGAUGAGAAUGAGCUUGAGUUGCUUAUGUGUGGUACUGGAGAUAUCAGUGUCUGUGAUUUCAAGGCACAUGCUGUGGUGGUAGGAGGAUCUUGGCACUUCCGUGAGAAGGUCAUGAGGUGGUUUUGGACCGUGGUCUCCAGUUUCACACAGGAAGAGCUGGCUAGGCUCUUGCAGUUCACAACUGGUUCCUCCCAGCUGCCUCCAGGAGGAUUUGCUGCACUCUGUCCAUCUUUCCAGAUCAUUGCGGCUCCAACUCACAGUACUUUGCCAACAGCCCACACUUGUUUUAACCAGCUGUGCCUCCCUACUUAUGACUCCUAUGAAGAAGUGCACAAGAUGCUGCAGCUAGCUAUCAGCGAGGGUUGUGAGGGCUUCGGCAUGCUGUGAUUUCCCCUUUUCAGGUGGCCAGUUAACCUCCUGGCUCUUCAUGGCAAGACCCAGGUUCAGUCCUAUGCUUGUUCUCCUUCCCUCCACAUGGGCAACGGAGGCAGAGCAAAGACUCCGUGUAAAGGAAUUAAUCAUCCAGAAGAUGUCACGUGGCCUUUCCAUAUCCCAAAUAUGUCAUCAAGAGCUCAUCUUUUCCUUUUCCCUCAUUCUCCCUUUGGUUCAAUGUGAAACAACAAUUGACUAUGGUGCAUUCAUCAAGGAGAUAUUGCACUUCAUUUCCAUGCACCGUGUAAGCCCAUCCCUCUCUGAAAAGAUGAAGUUCCUAAGCAGAAGUUACAAUGAGGUGCAGGAUAUCUGCUGAGUUGCCUUUAUUGUAGCUCUCUGAGAGGAAGAGGAAAGACCAGCAUGGAGCUCUGCUGGAAACGUGGCUCAUGGGAAGCCUUAGUAACUUCCCAUGUCUUGGCUCAACUCCCCCAGUGAUGCUCCCCAAUAGCUCAUCUAACUCUGACUCAUGAAGAGUAUAAGGUUGUCCAUCCUUUCAGUACCUGACACAGAAGGGUUUCUAGUUCUUCUUGCUCUGGAUGCUGCUGUCGCCUGUGCCACAGAGAAAAGUGGGCAGUAUCCACUGAAGGGAGUAACCCAAAGGGGAGAACAAUCUCAUUGGAGCACAAGUGCUGGCCCUGACAGUGAUCCUGUACUACCUCCACCAGGGUCUAGCAGCAGAAGCAUCCUCCAGCAGUGGCUGGUAAUGAGCCUCUGCAAAUGAACUGGAAGAGGAGUUUCUCCUCCAUUGAAUGUUUCUGACAGUUGAUGUUGCACAGAAAGCUGUCCUAUGCCCUUGCCUUCUUUUCCCUUCCUCAGGAGAGAGAGUAUGGGCAUGAGUGUGAUUCCUUAAUGCUGAGCACCAAUGCCUAUCCCACAUUCACCUUCAGGGAUGCAUGAUAUCAUCUGGCUGCCCACAUUGUGCGUCCUGAUCACCAGUGUCUUGUGAUGUCUUGGAGAGGGAGUGGGGACAGUGGUCUGUUGCUGACUUCACAGCCUCUAUUUAUCAUGGCAUCUGGCAUGGACUUAGGGCUGGGAGAGAAAUCAUGCCUGUAUGCUUCAUGCUGAAAUCCUACAUGCCCCAGCUUGUGUCUCCAGCAACAGUGAUGUCUUGGGAUUCUUGUUGCCACACGUGGCCACUUGAUGUGAGAUGUGCCAAGAUGUGCUGCUUGGGAAACUGGAUUUUUGUGCAUUCAGCUUUUUGUUUGCCUCACCUGUAGAACUGCUGCAAAGGAAUUUCUUCAGAUACCUGAAUGAGAAAAUGGAGAAAUGAUGCUUGAUUUGGGUAAGAGUUCUUGCUUUCAUAGUGUUAAGGCUGAGUUGAACCAAGCUGUAACUCCUGGUUCCCAUAGAGAAUGAUUAUAUUUUGCAUAGUUUUGGCUGUUCUGCUACCAUCGUGUGUCUGACUGACCUGGCACACGACAGCAGAAAGAGUUUGAACAUGUGAUUAUGGGAACUAUAAAAGGAAAACACGGGAAACAGCAAAGUCCAUCAGAAUAUCAGCCUGUCUUGGCAUCAGCUGUAUGAUUUAGAAUCUGAGACUAGAAUCUUCCUCUUAAAGUCUUUCCUUGUUUGUU